rnacentral:rRNA from 1 species
GGAUGAAGAGAGCUUGCUCUCUGAUUCAGCGGUCGGACGGGUGAGUAAUGCCUAGGAAUCUGCCUGGUAGUGGGGGACAACGUUUCGAAAGGAACGCUAAUACCGCAUACGUCCUACGGGAGAAAGCAGGGGACCUUCGGGCCUUGCGCUAUCAGAUGAGCCUAGGUCGGAUUAGCUAGUUGGUGAGGUAAUGGCUCACCAAGGCGACGAUCCGUAACUGGUCUGAGAGGAUGAUCAGUCACACUGGAACUGAGACACGGUCCAGACUCCUACGGGAGGCAGCAGUGGGGAAUAUUGGACAAUGGGCGAAAGCCUGAUCCAGCCAUGCCGCGUGUGUGAAGAAGGUCUUCGGAUUGUAAAGCACUUUAAGUUGGGAGGAAGGGAAGUAAUUUAAUACUCUGCAAUUUUGACGUUACCGACAGAAUAAGCACCGGCUAACUCUGUGCCAGCAGCCGCGGUAAUACAGAGGGUGCAAGCGUUAAUCGGAAUUACUGGGCGUAAAGCGCGCGUAGGUGGUUUGUUAAGUUGGAUGUGAAAGCCCCGGGCUCAACCUGGGAACUGCAUCCAAAACUGGCAAGCUAGAGUACGGUAGAGGGUGGUGGAAUUUCCUGUGUAGCGGUGAAAUGCGUAGAUAUAGGAAGGAACACCAGCUGGCGAAGGCGACCACCUGGACUGAUACUGACACUGAGGUGCGAAAGCGUGGGGAGCAAACAGGAUUAGAUACCCUGGUAGUCCACGCCGUAAACGAUGUCAACUAGCCGUUGGAAUCCUUGAGAUUAGUGGCGCAGCCUAACGCAUUAAGGUUGACCGCCUGGGGAGUACGGCCGCAAGGUUAAAACUCAAACUGAAUUGACGGGGGCCCGCACAAGCGGUGGAGCAUGUGGUUAAUUCGAAGCAACGCGAAGAACC